rnacentral:rRNA from 1 species
ACGCUGGCGGUAGGCCUAACACAUGCAAGUCGAACGGCAGCACAGUAAGAGCUUGCUCUUACGGGUGGCGAGUGGCGGACGGGUGAGGAAUACAUCGGAAUCUACCUUUUCGUGGGGGAUAACGUAGGGAAACUUACGCUAAUACCGCAUACGACCUUCGGGUGAAAGCAGGGGACCUUCGGGCCUUGCGCGGAUAGAUGAGCCGAUGUCGGAUUAGCUAGUUGGCGGGGUAAAGGCCCACCAAGGCGACGAUCCGUAGCUGGUCUGAGAGGAUGAUCAGCCACACUGGAACUGAGACACGGUCCAGACUCCUACGGGAGGCAGCAGUGGGGAAUAUUGGACAAUGGGCGCAAGCCUGAUCCAGCCAUACCGCGUGGGUGAAGAAGGCCUUCGGGUUGUAAAGCCCUUUUGUUGGGAAAGAAAAGCAAUCGAUUAAUACUCGGUUGUUCUGACGGUACCCAAAGAAUAAGCACCGGCUAACUUCGUGCCAGCAGCCGCGGUAAUACGAAGGGUGCAAGCGUUACUCGGAAUUACUGGGCGUAAAGCGUGCGUAGGUGGUUGUUUAAGUCUGUUGUGAAAGCCCUGGGCUCAACCUGGGAAUUGCAGUGGAUACUGGGCAACUAGAGUGUGGUAGAGGGUAGUGGAAUUCCCGGUGUAGCAGUGAAAUGCGUAGAGAUCGGGAGGAACAUCCAUGGCGAAGGCAGCUACCUGGACCAACACUGACACUGAGGCACGAAAGCGUGGGGAGCAAAC